rnacentral:rRNA from 1 species
GAUGAACGCUGGCGGCGUGCUUAACACAUGCAGGUCGAACGAAGCACUUUAUUUGAUUUCCUUCGGGACUGAUUAUUUUGUGACUGAGUGGCGGACGGGUGAGUAACGCGUGGGUAACCUGCCUUGUACAGGGGGAUAACAGUUGGAAACGGCUGCUAAUACCGCAUAAGCGCACGGCAUCGCAUGAUGCAGUGUGAAAAACUCCGGUGGUAUAAGAUGGACCCGCGUUGGAUUAGCUAGUUGGUGAGGUAACGGCCCACCAAGGCGACGAUCCAUAGCCGACCUGAGAGGGUGACCGGCCACAUUGGGACUGAGACACGGCCCAAACUCCUACGGGAGGCAGCAGUGGGGAAUAUUGCACAAUGGGCGAAAGCCUGAUGCAGCGACGCCGCGUGAGCGAAGAAGUAUUUCGGUAUGUAAAGCUCUAUCAGCAGGGAAGAUAAUGACGGUACCUGACUAAGAAGCACCGGCUAAAUACGUG